GCCGAAGUGGCGGAAUUGGUAGACGCGCUAGGUUCAGGGUCUAGUGGGUGCACGCCCGUGGAAGUUCGAGUCUUCUCUUCGGCACCA
rnacentral:tRNA from 1 species